AAUUAUGGUGGGCUGUGUGGGGGCGGAGAGAUCCGCGCCGGUCGGUUUCCCGGUUACGCCAACCCUGCACAGUUCACCACCAGA
rfam:Enterobacteria phage VT2-Sakai proviral DNA, complete genome.